GAAUUUUAUAUAGAGAUUUUAAUAACUUAGAUUGGGUUAAAGAUUUUAUAUUUGAUUGGGAUAAUUGUUAAAUUUAAGGAAUUUUAAUUUUUAAAAAUAGAGAUUAAAGGGUAUUAGGAGUGACUUUUAAGUUAAGGAAGAAUUAAUUACCUUAGGGAUAACAGCGUAAUAUUUUUGGUGAGAUCAUAUCUAUAAAGAUGUUUGC
rnacentral:rRNA from 1 species